rnacentral:rRNA from 1 species
AUGGGCGAAAGCCUGACCCAGCAACGCCGCGUGAGGGAUGAAGUAUUUCGGUAUGUAAACCUCGAAAGAAUGGGAAGAAUAAAUGACGGUACCAUUUAUAAGCUCCGGCUAACUACGUGCCAGCAGCCGCGGUAAUACGUAGGGAGCAAGCGUUGUUCGGAUUUACUGGGCGUAAAGGGCGCGUAGGCGGCGCGGUAAGUCACGUGUGAAAUCUCUGAGCUUAACUCAGAACGGCCAAGUGAUACUGCUGUGCUAGAGUGCGGAAGAGGCAACCGGAAUUCUUGGUGUAGCGGUGAAAUGCGUAGAUAUCAAGAGGAACACCUGAGGCGAAGGCAGCUUACGACACAAUCAUUGACACUGAGGCACGAAAGCGUGGGUAGCGAACA